ACAUGCCUACAACAAUGCGUCAAUGCACCAGAUCCCAUUAGAACUCUGUAGUUAAGCACACUCAGGCUAGAGUAGUACUAGGAUGGGUGACCGCCUGAGAAUUCCUAUUGUUUUACAUGCC
rfam:Picea glauca, whole genome shotgun sequence.